rnacentral:lncRNA from 1 species
CCUGCUCACUGAGCACACUGUGCCAGGCCCCUUGUGGGAAUUCUCUCAUGAAUCCUUGUAACUCUGCGAAAAAGGUCCAUGUACUUUGGAGCCGGUGUGUUGUGUCCAUGGAUGUGCGAGACUCCUCCCCAGGAACCCAGGACCCAGCUGAGGCCUCCUCCAGGGAAAACAUGGAUGGCAUAAAAAGGUAACUGAGGGAGACCUUGUGAGAGGAAACAAUGACCGCGUCCUGACCGGCUCUGUGGUGCUGAGCUCCUGCAGGUAGCGUCUACGUGCGGGGCAGGUUUGUAGGAAUCAUGAGUGGACGAGGCAGGGAGGAGCUCAGAAGGAGGACAGGAACUGGGCUGGAAGCCUCGAGCAGGAGGAGCGCUGCUGCAUCCACACUGGCCACGCUCUGGCCGACCCCCCACGUCCGUGCCCGCAGCACAGCGCCUCGUGCCCUGUCCUGAUGUCGCUAGGAAGUGGGCGAGGGUGCAGGAUAAAGAGAUGACGCUUGGCAGCAAGAGAACUCCUUGGUGAUUUGAGGCUUGGGGUGGACAGCAAGGAGAGGCUGCAAAGUCUUAUUCCUUAGGGAAGAGGCCAGGCCGGAUGAUUGCUCUCUGGGUUAAGAGUUACUAAGGGCCACCCCAGGAAGAGGAAUGAGGGGAGGGGCAGAAAGAGCGGGUAGUAGAGGGAAAAGGGGGAGAGAAAGGCAGAAAGAGAGAGACGAAGGGAGAGAGGGAGGGAGGGAGAGGAGAAAACGUCGACGGGUACGAAGGCAGUGGCCCAGCGGCAUCUGUGACCCCGUCCGAGCUGCGCCCUGCCCCAUCCAUCCCGGCUGAGGAGAGUUGGUACACUCUUACCGGAGCCGGCCACAGAGUUGGAGCAGGAACCAGGGCUCCCAGUGCCCAAAGCUGCCCUUUGAGUUGGUGGAGGGUGGGGGGUCCAGAGGAGGGCCUGGGGGAUGGUGGGGGGCACACAUGGGGGAGGUGGGG